GUAGGGGCCCCCCCGGUGGUUGGGGGAGAGGACGGGGGCCGGCGGGGCCGGGCCCGUACGGGCGUGUGAGGGCGGGGCGGUGUGGAGGGCUCUGCCCCGUUUCGGGGGGACGGGUAGGGCUGAUCGUCUGGUGCCGGCGGGGCCUUCCGGGCGGCGGUCGACUGAGGCCCGCGCGCGGCCGCGGGCGGGGACGCGGUGGUUGGUGGUUGGCGUCGGGGCGGUGGCCCGUGGGGCGCGCCGUGCCCCUCGCUUGCCUCCCCCUUUCUAGUUUUUACAGCUGGAAUUUCAUUCUUUGUCCCAGUGUUAUGAUGUACUCCUGUUGAAGAAUAACAUCCAUUAAGAUGUGAGCUACCCAACUUAAGUAUGCAAGUCCGAGUCAACUGGCAGGAGAGAAACAUGCUGAGAUUUGGAUUUUUGAGGAGAUGGAACUACUUCUCACUUGUGCUGCAAAUACAAGAUCAGAGGGAUACCAAGACUUGAAAAGCUUGGAGAAACUUUCUCCAAAGACUUUGGGACCGACUGGUGGUCAUCUCAUGACAUUCUGGAAGGAUCUCAAGGCAUGAAGGGAUUCUGGUGAGGCUUGGAGGAAGGAUGUAGUCAGACUGGAAAGGCUGUCUCCUUCAGGACCUGUGAUGGAAAAGUCCAGUACUGGUCAGCCCCUAGGACUGUCAAGUGAAGAAUGGAUCUGGAAGCAACUGGCCUGACCAACUAGACAAUAUUAUGAUCUACUCGUGUUAAAGAAUGACUUAUCCAUUAAGAUGUGAGCUACCUGACUUAACUAUGCAAGUCCAAGUCAGCAGGUAAGAGUGAAACAUGCUGAGAUUUGGAUGUUGGAGGGGGUGGGUCUACUUCUCCCCUGUACUCUGAAUACAGGAUAAGCAGGUAUGAAUUACAGAAUUAAUCAGUGGACAUGUUUUCUGUUUUAUAGGAGACCAAAGAAAUUUGAACUUGGGGAAGACUUGAGUGUGCAUAAUUUUUUCCAUUUAUUGAGGGCUUUUUCUGGGCCAAGCUGUAUGUGUCUCCCUCAUAAAUACUGAUAUGAGGAAAUAUGUGAUGAUGCCAUGGAAUCUUAAGGGAAACACUGGAUAUCCUGACACUCAGAAGUAUGGUCUCAAUGCACAGGCACAUUCAUGUAGCAGUACACAUAGCUUGUGGAACAGGUGUGCACCUUUAGAACUCUGUUAUUUUGCUGGAUGUCAGGGAUCUCAUAAAUCGCUAAGGCUCACUUGCCUCUUACACACACACACACACACACACACACACACACACACACAUUCAGAGAGCAGGGGUCACUGCCUCCUUCUACUCUCCUUUUCCCUUAAAUGUAGUCUCACCUUGGAGAGAAAUGAGUGGCUGACAGGAAGAUUAUAGGAAUAAAGGAUGAGUAGGGAGCUGCCCAUUCUGGGUUCCUUUUUUGCUUUUUGUUCUUUCACCACCGCAGGAAUGCCAAGACUAGAAAGGCUUGGAGCACCUUAGUGCCAGUACUGUUGGACUGACUGGUGGUCAUCUCAUGACAUUCAGGAUGGAUCCCCUGGCACAGUGUGAUUCUGCUCGGGCUUGGAGGAAGGGUGGACUCAGACUGCAAAGGUUGUAACUACCUUGGAAGCCCCUAGGGCACAAUUCUCCUCCAGACAGAGGCAAAUGCAGGCUAGUCUGUGUUUUGCUUCUAGCGCUGGUGUCCUCUCAGCCUUCUUCCUGCCUCCCCAUUCUGCUUCCUGUCUCUAUAUCCCUCCAGCGAUCUAUCUUUCCAUCUCUCUGUAUCCCAGGGACACAGGCUAGGGAUACAGGCUUCGCUUUCCUCUUAGUCUCCAGCUGCAGUGGCACCGACAUGAAGGUCUGUUUCCUGCUAUGUGUGGUCUGAGUUUCUCUUCUGAUUGGGACAAGUGAUAUGGAUCAAUUUGGGGAAGCUAUUACUCUUCCAGCUAUAGAUGUAUUCUCAGUGACUGAACCACGUGCCAGAAGACAACCCACAGCAAUUUGUGUACCCUGGUCCAGCCCUAUGUUGUGGCAGCAUGGAGCCCAUCUCAUGAGGGGAAGGGCGAGGGAGGCAACGCUAACACUCACAAUCCACAGUUACACUAAACUUCACAGGUUAAGGUUACACUGCUAAGCCGGAAUGCCAUCACUACAGAAACCAGACACAAGUCUGGGUUUACCAACGACACCCUUACCCUGACCAACUGAUAGAUGGGCCACGUUCUUGAUCAGGCAAUCCACAGAGAAUCAUUCCAUAAAUGCAGUGAAUAUCCGGUAUAAUUUUCAUUCAAAUGCUUUUCAGUCUGCCCCCAGGUAUUGUUCAAAACAGUCAAACCAAAGAAUUUAAGACGCGCCUUUUCCCUAUAAGAUGUACAAUGAUGGUUAGAAAAUAACAUUCAGAAUGCAGUGAAACAGGCGCUUUCAUUUUGUUCAUGGGUAGAUUGAGUUUGGGAGACAUCUUUGCAGGAGGUUUCAACACAUAAAGUUGAUAAUGUGAGUGAUGUUUUGUCAGUGUGUGUGUGCAUUUGUGUGUGUGUGUCUGUGCAUGCAGAAGCCCUGAUGCAGACUACUUCAGUGUGGACACUCACCACCUUGGUAGAAGGAGGAGCACCCAAAAUUUGGGCACAGGCCCACACCUGGCCCUAGGAAGAGAUGCCAGGAGGUGGGGCUGUGCCAGGCCCACAAAAGGAAGUACGAGAUGCAUGGUCUAGGCAGGCAGAUCCCCUAGGAUAUCUGGAGGCCAGCCCUCAGCCAGGUGGUGAACGCUUAGGCUAGAGCCUGGCUUAGAGAAGUAGGGCAGAAGCCUGGCUCAGGGGCUCUUGGAGGGCUCCAUGAGGGGUUUCCAAUAGCUUGGGGGCCCCGUGCAUGGCUGCUGGAACUCAAAAUGCAUCUGACACUUGGAUUCAAGCAUUGCUGCAGGCGGCCAGGGAGGUGGUCAUUUGGCUCUUCA
ensembl:lncRNA